rnacentral:tRNA from 13 species
CGGAAAGUAGCUCAGCUUGGUAGAGUGCAGGCUUUGGGAGUCUGAUGUCGCAGGUUCAAGUCCUGUCUUUCCGA